CUCCUUAGACAUUGGAUGCCUGUUUGGAGAAAUGUUAGCAUGUCACAUACAGGGCAUUCUUGCUGUACCUCUUACAGGUUUCUCUUGAGAUGCAUAUUUAGCCUUUUGUUUUCUUUAGCUGCUAGGUCAAUUGAAAUGCAUAUGUCAUUUCCUUUUUUGGGGGUUAAACUGCAU